UACGGGGGGGGUAAGCGUUGUUCGGAAUUACUGGGCGUAAAGGGCUCGUAGGCGGCCAACUAAGUCAGACGUGAAAUCCCUCAGCUUAACUGGGGAACUGCGUCUGAUACUGGAUGGCUUGGAUUCGGGAGAGGAAUGCGGAAUUCCAGGUGUAGCGGUGAAAUGCGUAGAUAUCUGGAGGAACACCGGUGGCGAAGGCGGGUCUCUGGGCAAUUCCUGACGCUGAGGCGCGAAAGCGUGGGGAGCAAACGGG
rnacentral:rRNA from 1 species